AUUGUAAAAUGCACCGGAAGUGGAUCCGGCGGCUUUCUUUCCGUCGCGGAGGGCAUCGGCCGGCGACCAUUCCGGCGACCAUUGCGACAACUUCCCCACGGCUGCUGCGUCCACGUGGCGGUGGCGUGGGGACUCCCUGAAAGGAGAGCGGCGGGGCGCCCGGAAGUCGUGAGUCGAGUCUUCCCGGGCUAAUCCAUGCCGGGUUGGAGGCUGCUGACGCAGGUCGGCGCCCAGGUGCUGGGUCGAGUCGGAGACGGCCUGGGUGCUGCCCUGGGCCCGGGGAACAGAACACACAUCUGGCUUUUUGUUAGAGGUCUUCAUGGAAAGAGUGGUACAUGGUGGGAUGAGCAUCUUUCUGAAGAAAAUGUCCCAUUCAUUAAGCAGUUGGUCUCUGAUGAAGAUAAAGCCCAAUUAGCAAGUAAACUAUGUCCUCUGAAAGAUGAACCAUGGCCUAUACAUCCUUGGGAACCAGGUUCCUUUAGAGUUGGCCUUAUUGCCUUGAAGCUGGGCAUGAUGCCUUUAUGGACCAAGGAUGGUCAAAAGCAUGUGGUCACAUUACUUCAGGUACAAGACUGUCAUGUCUUAAAAUAUACUUCAAAGGAAAAUCAUAAUGGAAAAAUGGCAGCCCUGUCUGUAGGAGGAAAAACUGUAUCACGUUUUCGUAAAGCUACAUCCAUUUUGGAAUUUUACCGAGAACUUGGAUUGCCGCCGAAACAGACAGUUAAAAUCUUUAAUAUAACAGAUAAUGCUGCAAUUAAACCAGGCACUCCUCUUUAUGCUGCUCACUUUCGUCCAGGACAGUAUGUGGAUGUUACAGCCAAAACUAUUGGUAAAGGUUUUCAAGGUGUCAUGAAAAGAUGGGGAUUUAAAGGCCAGCCUGCUACGCAUGGUCAAACGAAAACCCACAGGAGACCUGGAGCUAUUGCAACUGGUGAUAUUGGCAGAGUCUGGCCUGGAACUAAAAUGCCUGGAAAAAUGGGAAACAUAUAUAGGACCUCAUACGGACUGAAAGUGUGGAGAAUAAACACAAAGCACAACAUCAUCUAUGUAAAUGGCUCUGUACCUGGACAUAAAAAUUGCUUAGUAAAGGUCAGAGAUUCUAAACUGCCUGCAUAUAAGGAUCUCGGUAAAAAUCUACCAUUCCCUACAUAUUUUCCUGAUGGAGAUGAAGAGGAACUGCCGGAAGAUUUGUACGAUGAAAACGUGUGUCAGCCCAGUGCGCCUUCUAUUACGUUUGCCUAACAUCUUUGGAUGGGCAGAACCUUACAUAUUCUAAAGAUAACCCUCAACACAUGCCCUGCAUCAAACUGGGAACAUGACUGAAGAAUAAAAUUGCUCCUCCUGCAAAGAUGGAAGAAUGUUGAGCUCUGUGAGAGCUCCCCACAGCAUGAGGAAAUGAAGGGGUUGAAACCAGAGAGAAGCUGAGUGGAGACCAAGCAAGAAGGCAGGAAAGUGGGACCCAGGAAGAGACAAGUAAAAGUCUUUGCUGGUGCAUCAGAUUGGCAGAGUGUAGAUCACAUGUCUGUGCCAUAGCUGCAAGGGAGUCUAGGUAAGCAAGCCCUCUUCUAACACUUUCAGGUUCUGUUGGGAAGGUGACCAAAAGUUGGGAGCUCCCUGCAAAUAAAAAUGAACUUCAUGUGCUGGGCAGCCAAAAACAAAAGAUUUUUAAAAUAUACAGUAAAUGCCAUUUAAACUAGGGAAAGGCUGGGGAGAAAGGGAAACUAAUGUAAAAUUUUUAAGUAGACCCAGAUUCUGGACUCAUUAAAUACAUUUUAGGGGUAACUAGCUCUCUGAAACCUUGUUUUUAUAUCUGAAAUCAAAGUGUUGAAUCAGAUGAACUCUCUGGAUGUUGAUGCUGUGAAGUGUCACAUUCUCAGAUCAUCUCUGUGGUUGGCAUGACUUGAAACAAAGAAACAAGAAGAUCCCAUAAUUACGCUGAAAAAAUGAUUAUUUUUAUCUUAAGUCACCCCAAAAUUUGUAUUUAGAAAUGGACAAGGUAAACAUUUUUAUAGGAAUUUUUAUUUCUUCCUUUAAAGUAACUUGUCAGUAUUAUACUGUUGGUUAUUGGAAUUGAGAGAAGACCUUCUCUCUCCAGACCCAAAGCCAGUCAUCUUGUGCUCUCUGAAAUGGACCAGACUAUUUUUAAAAGGGAGAGAAAGAGGUGCCAUGAGGUGAUAAAAGGGACAAAAAAAGGUAGACUUUGUUUCUGUAAAAGUUUUUUGGAACAUGAUAGCUUUUUUCAUGUCAGCCAUACUCAGAGAUAAGGGGGAAAAACUCCUGUCUAGUUCUCCCACAUCUGCCAUGAAAGUUACUAGGGUUCUUACAGGCUUUUCUCCCGAAUUACUAUAACAUAUAUUUAGGAUUAUCCCUAUUUCAUCUGGAAGUUUUUAUUUAAAUGUACUGCUUGUAUGCACAUGUUUGUUUAAGUUUUGCUGAAAUCUUAAGUAUCAUUCCAUGACUUCUUAAUUUCUCUUCCUGUGGGGGAUGUUUCUCUUACUUCAUAAACCGAAGACAGGGCUUUCCAAAAAUGUUCACAUCCAAGCACUCAUAAAAAUUAUAUUUGUAUCUGAGGUUACUUCAGAUCCUGAGUUGUCUUGGGGACUCCAGCCUAACCACCCUGAAAACUGAGGGCACCAAUGAUGCUGCCAUCUGUGUCACUUUCCUGGUUCACCAGUGCGUGAGGCACUCCUCAGAAAACUCUGGCCUAAGCCCAUGGGAAAAAUUAGGUUUGAUAUACCAAAGCAGUCUUUACAUACAGUUUUCCAGGGAUGGGUCUGCUAAAGCAUGCAAUAUAUCAGAAAGGAUAAUUUCAUGAAAGUGAAGAGAAUGGUGGACUAGCCCAGAGAUCUACUUCAGUGAGCUGAAAUAGAUGAGGAAACUGAGGCCCAGAGAGAUAAGUGACUUGGCCUAGGUCACACAGCCACUUGGCGGCAGGCCAGGCCAAGAUUGCCAGGUGAAGAACCCUCUCAGUUCUAUCAGUUAGAAGAGGUUUGGCCUCAAACUUAAGCAUUGAUAUCAAAUGCAUUUUAGAAUCU